rnacentral:misc_RNA from 1 species
UCUCCGUUGGUGAACCAGCGGAGGGAUCAUUACCGAGUUUACAACUCCCAAACCCAAUGUGAACCAUACCAAACUGUUGCCUCGGCAGGGUCACGCCCCGGGUGCGUCGCAGCCCCGGAACCAGGCGCCCGCCGGAGGGACCAACCAUACUCUUUCUGUAGUCCCCUCGCGGACGUUAUUUUUACAGCUCUGAGCAAAAAUUCAAAAUGAAUCAAAACUUUCAACAACGGAUCUCUUGGUUCUG